UACGUAGGGGGCGAGCGUUAUCCGGAUUUACUGGGCGUAAAGCGCGUUAAGGCGGUCGGCAAAGUUGGUUGUGAAAUCUCAGGGCUCAACCCUGAAAUUGCGACCAAUACUGGUCGACUAGAGUGUGAGAGAGGAAGGUGGAAUUCCCGGUGUAGUAGUGAAAUGCGUAGAUAUCGGGAGGAACACCUGUGGCGAAAGCGGCUCACUGGACCACAACUGACGCUGAGGCGCGAAAGCUAGGGGAGCAAACAGG
rnacentral:rRNA from 1 species